GUUACAUUGUGUUGUUUAAGUGUUCCCUUUAUUUUUUUGAGCAAUGUACAUUACAUACAUAGUAACUGGCUCCAUACCUCUCUAUAUUAUACCACCCUAAUCUAACAUCAAAUAUCGUUGUCAUUCCUGCUCAUAGGGUUGAUAUGGGAAGCAGUUUCAUGAACAUUCUAAGUAUACGUUCCUUAAUUAUACCAUGACUUCAUAUUAAACUGAGUGUUCAGUAUGAGUCACAUGCUUGGAACGAUGAGGUGAUCCUUGUUUCUGG